GCGCCUGUAGCUCAGAUGGAUAGAGCGGUUGCCUCCGGAGCAACAGGUCGCAGGUUCGAGCCCUGCCAGGCGUACCA
rnacentral:tRNA from 1 species